rnacentral:lncRNA from 1 species
AGAAGUUCACAAAAUGCGAGUCAGGAAAUCUUGGUCAACUAACUCGGGCCUUGGCCAUCACCUUCUUCAUUUCUCCGAUCAGUUUCUUGCAGCAAUUGAGGAAUGUUUCAAUCCCCUUAAGCGAGCUAAAGAUGGCAUUGCAGACUCAACAUCAACUAAUAUUUUAGGAACGCCUUUAAUGGCUUUGUUAGCAAGGGAAACUAGUUGCGAAAGGCUUCUUUUUCAAUUCUUUGUAACUCGCCCUUAUUCAACAACAUGCUCACUUGCAUCUGAGUCAUCAAUUCUCAAUGUCUUCUUUUUAGCUCAAUGCCAAAACUCCUUCUUCAGUUUUCUCACUACUAUUUUCACACACUGCUCAGCACCGUGAAAUUGUUUUUCACAAUUUGGGUCAGGAGAAUUUAACUUGAAUGACAACUUGAUUGUCUUGACCCUUUCUACGACUCAUUGGCUAAAGGAAUAUUUCAUUGACGGUCCAUGAUCUUAGGCCUUUCUUCGAAGUGAACAACAGUGUCCCCAAGCGUUCUUAACUUCAAGCAUUUUAGUAAAGGUUCCUUCCUCAGGAGAUCUGCGACGUAGCAAAAGAUGUAUGCGUUGGUGACCCUCUCACAGGAUACCCGAAUUGUUUUUUUCUCUUUUUUUUUUGUUUCUUUUUUGCUUUUUUUUUGUCUUUUUUUAUUUUUUUUUGUUUUUUGUUUUGACACACACAUAACACUGGAUACCCAUGAAGGGACAUCAAGAUAGCUGCCGCAAUGGUGUAUGAUACACGAUCUUUGCUGCCAAGAAAACACACCAUUUAAAUUUUCCUCUUCUGAGCCUACCCAGAGUUGCGUUCAUUCAUUUGCCCCUUUCAUCUUUAGUUUAAUUGUCGUAGUUCCUAGGGGACAUAUGGCAUUCAAAGCACCCAUACUCAUGCGAGAAAUGAAGCACAUAUGGAAUACUGGUAAACAACAUAACAUCUUCCCGAACUUUAGCUCAUGACACUGAUUAAGAGUCCCAUAAAUUUCAGUUAGGACAACCAAGACUGGAUUCUCAGAGCAAACUUUGUAUCCCACAAAUGCAUUCAUGGCGGCAUAGUCGACCAACUCGCUGGUAUUAGGAAAGAGCAUGACACCAUAGUGGAUAAGAGCUAGUACAUUCAUGAAAGUUUCCC